rnacentral:rRNA from 1 species
GACGAACGCUGGCGGCGUGCUUAACACAUGCAAGUCGAACGGAAAGGCCCUGCUUUUGUGGGGUGCUCGAGUGGCGAACGGGUGAGUAACACGUGAGUAACCUGCCCUUGACUUUGGGAUAACUUCAGGAAACUGGGGCUAAUACCGGAUAGGAGCUCCUGCUGCAUGGUGGGGGUUGGAAAGUUUCGGCGGUUGGGGAUGGACUCGCGGCUUAUCAGCUUGUUGGUGGGGUAGUGGCUUACCAAGGCUUUGACGGGUAGCCGGCCUGAGAGGGUGACCGGCCACAUUGGGACUGAGAUACGGCCCAGACUCCUACGGGAGGCAGCAGUGGGGAAUAUUGCACAAUGGGCGGAAGCCUGAUGCGGCAACGCCGCGUGCGGGAUGACGGCCUUCGGGUUGAAAACCGCUUUCGCCUGUGACGAAGCGUGAGUGACGGUAAUGGGUAAAGAAGCACCGGCUAACUACGUG